rnacentral:rRNA from 1 species
AGAGUUUGAUCCUGGCUCAGAAUGAACGUUGGCGGCGUGGAUUAGGCAUGCAAGUCGUGCGGAAAGGCUCCUUCGGGAGUACUCGAGCGGCGAAAGGGAGAGUAACGCGUGGAUUACCUACCCCCGGAUCCGGGAUAGCUGCGGGAAACUGCAGGUAAUACCGGAUAAUGUCUCCGGACUAAAGGUGUGAUUCCGUCUGGGGAUGGGUCCGCGUCCUAUUAGCUUGUUGGUGGGGUAACGGCCUACCAAGGCAACGAUGGGUACCGGGUGUGAGAGCAUGACCCGGCUCACUGGGACUGAGACACUGCCCAGACACCUACGGGUGGCUGCAGUCGAGAAUCUUCGGCAAUGGACGAAAGUCUGACCGAGCGACGCCGCGUGCGGGAUGAAGGCCUUCGGGUUGUAAACCGUUGUCAGAGGGGAUGAAAUGCUGUAAGGCUAUCCUUGCAGUUUGACAAAUCCUCAGAGGAAGUACGGGCUAAGUUCGUGCCAGCAGCCGCGGUAAGACGAACCGUACAAACGUUAUUCGGAAUCACUGGGCUUAAA